rnacentral:rRNA from 1 species
UACGUAGGGGGCAAGCGUUGUCCGGAUUUAUUGGGCGUAAAGAGCGUGUAGGCGGCCAUGCAGGUCAGCUGUGAAAACUCGAGGCUCAACCUCGAGACGUCGGUUGAAACCGUAUGGCUAGAGUCCGGAAGAGGAGAGUGGAAUUCCUGGUGUAGCGGUGAAAUGCGCAGAGUAUCAGGAGGAACACCAAUGGCGAAGGCAGCUCGCUGGGACGGUACUGACGCUGAGACGCGAAAGCGUGGGGAGCAAACAGG